rnacentral:lncRNA from 1 species
GCUUGUCCACGUACUGGAGGAUUUACCUCAAUUUACUGUUAACUGAGCAGCAAUGCUGCAACUGUGGAGUGUUGGGCUGGGUGGGUUGAGCUAUCCCCACAUGGAGUGUAUGGCUGGUACGGGUGGAGUGUAGUGGUUGGUGGGUUGAGUAGUCUCCCCAAAUGGGCUUGCAUAUGUUAUUGAUGUUGCAUGUAUUUUGAAAUGGGCCUAUGGGCCAUAUUGUUAUCUGAAUAAGGGGCGAAGGCCCAGUUUAUUGUAAUCUGAAAAGGGCUCUGGUCCAGUACCACUGUUACCUGAAUGGGCUUAGGCCCAAUAGGCUUGAGCUGACUUGGGCUUUGAA